AACCUGCUAGCUGAAGGCUCUGGCGGCGGCGAGCGAUUCUUGGUCCGGCGGCGGCGGCCGGCUCUCCUGCCUCUCCCUUGGUCCCUUCCCUCCCCUCCAUCCGGCCAUCUCACUCCCCUGCCCUCGGCCUCCGGCGCCCAGCCCUCUCCUCCGCGGCUCCCCCAGGCACCAGGCCACCAGUCCGCCUCCGGCCUCCCGAGCGCGGCGGCAGCCGGCAGCGUCCUCCAGGCUCCAGCCACCGUCCUCGGGCCUCCCCGGCGCGGCGGCAGAAACAUCCAGCAGUCCGGCCUUCGUUCCUCAACAGCCACAAUACCCUGACACCGGUUGCCCCGGCAAAACGCCGCUCCCCGCCAACGCCCCUCUCUCUCAGCUGCCGACCUCGGCAACGAGCUCACCCACACGCCUCUGCUGCCAGAAGAUUGCCCGCAGCUAGCAAAGGCUAAUGGAUCGAGGUUGGAUGAGUAAACCAAGAUCAACUACUGAUUAUAAAGAAGGUGUCGAGCAAUUUCUAUCUUUUGCCUUCCAUGAUGUUCCACUCGGUGAUAAAAUUCUCUGUCCCUGUGUAAAUUGUGGAAAUAAGGCAACGCAGAAUUACGACGAAGUGAAAACCCACCUAAGAUGUGAUGGUAUUCUUCAGGGUUAUACAAAAUGGGUUUGCCAUGGAGAAGAGUAUGAUUCACCGUCAUUUGCAUUUGCUCCCAUGUCAAAUAACAACAACAAUUUUCAUAUUCCGGGUUUUCCAGUGAAUUCUGAUGUAGAAGGCAGUAAUAGAAGAUUGCAUGACAUUUCUGGGCUCUUAAGUGCCAUUUUCCCCAUGGCUGACAGCUUCCAAUCACUAUCAAGCGCAUCUGAUGGGGAACUAGAUGGUGUUUAGUCUGAAUUUGAGAACUUGGAACCUGGUAUGGCUGAGAAUGUCAAUACAACAUCUGCAGAUGAUGAUGCAAUGAGAGAACAAGACAUAUACGCUAGUUUCCUCGAGGAAGCAAACACAGAUUUAUACCCUGGAUGUGCAACAUAUUCGAGGUUGUCAUUUCUUGUCACUUUAUAUCACAUGAAAGUCUUGCAUGGAUGGUCACAGGAAUCAUUCACACAGCUACUUGGUGUAUUAUCGGUUGCAUUUCCUCAGAUAAACCUACCCAAGAAAUAUUAUGAGGUGAAAAAAAUCAUAC